UCUUUAACAAUUUUCGUUACAUC
rnacentral:miRNA from 1 species